UACAUGGGGUGCAAACGUUGCUCGGAUUCAUUGGGCGUAAAGGGCGCGUAGGCGGCGGGGUAAGUCGGGUGUGAAAUCUCAGAGCUCAACUCUGAAAUGGCACUUGAUACUGCUCUGCUAGAGGACUGGAGAGGAGAUUGGAAUUCACGGUGUAGCAGUGAAAUGCGUAGAUAUCGUGAGGAAGACCGGUGGCGAAGGCGGAUCUCUGGACAGUUCCUGACGCUGAGGCGCGAAGGCCAGGGGAGCAAACGGG
rnacentral:rRNA from 1 species